AUUUAUUUUUGGGCCCAAGAUCAUGAAUAGUAUGUGUUCUUAUUUAAUAUUUCAUAACUCCUCUACCUGAGAAUACUUUAUAAAGUGGAUUUUUGGAACAGGGAGAUUGAAUAGAGGCUUGCUCCAUUCAUUCCACAAACCAAUCUGAUAUUGCAGUACUUCCGUGAAUGAUGUGUCUCUC
rnacentral:snRNA from 3 species